UGAGUUUAUCAUAUGGAACAAGUGUAGCCCGGAGGUGGAUUUUUGCCACAGGUAAGGAGAAGCUGAAGAGCAACAGGGACAUAAAGAUUGAGGUCAAGAGCUUUGAGCUUGAGGGUAGUGCAGAGACAAGCCGCGGCUUCGACUUCAACGAGGCCUUUAAGUAACGGACAACAUUUGUUAACUGCUGGAUCCCCAAGCCCUAUCUUUACUAAACCUCCCAACAAGUCGACGCAAGCACCUAACUUCAGCGUGUCUAUUGGACAUGUCGCCUUCCCGCCCCCUGAUGGUGGCUUUACGCUCCCUGGCGGUGGAGGACAGUCCUUCCCUCCUGUGGCUGGUGGGGUUGUUCCCGGUGGAAGAAUAGGACCUACAAUUGGCAAAGGCGGCAAUGGCAGAUUGGGACCUACCACUGGAGGUAUGGGUAGCCCUGAAAUCGGAGGAAGGGGUAGCUUAGGGACGGUCACUGGAGGAACGGGUAGCUUAGGUACAGUUACCGGGGGAACGGGUAGCUUAGGGACUGUCACUGGAGGAACGGGUAGCUUGGGGACGGUCACUGGAGGAACGGGUAGCUUGGGGACGGUCACAGGAGGAACGGGUAGCUUAGGUACAGUCACUGGUGGAACGGGUAGCUUAGGGAUGGUCACAGGAGGAACGGGUAGCUUAGGGACGGUCACCGGAGGGACUGGUAGCUUAGGGACGGUCACCGGAGGAACUGGUAGCUUAGGGACGGUCACCGGAGGAACUGGUAGCUUAGGGGCUUUAGGGGAGUGCUUUCCGCCCUUCCGUGGGUUGCAAGAGCCGCAUGCGAGAGAAUGUUGGGGGAGAUAGAUAAUGCAAAUGAGGAAGAGGCAAAGAGAGAGAGAUGAGAGUUUGGAGGAGUCCAUGUUGAGUAGAGUGGAUGGUGUAACUAUACGAAAGAGUAUAUGAAUAUAUAGAGGGAAAAUGAGAAGAAGAAUUCACGUGAAGAUGGGGGCUACUUCUGCAAUAAGAAGAGACGCCCCAAAAUAAGCAUGGUUGGCAAUUAUCAUAAGAAUACAAGAUUUCCUUGAUGACCCAUCGCUAUAUAUCAUCACAUGUCGACCACACUUUUUUCACUUUUUUUUUUCUAAGUGCCUCUUGUUCUUGGGUUAACUACAACUUUUAACAACGUGUAACUUCAGUUUCAACAGUACAGUACAUUUAACUUGUAGGAAUUGUAAUGAAUCAACUUAGCGAGACUAGGUCAUUAUGAGAUAUCAUCAAUACUAAAUAACAUUUUGAUGAUGUAAACACUCUAGGAAAAGCAGAUAAUAUAGUAUCAUAUGGUUUUCGCUUUAGUGUGUGGCUUCAUAAGCAUCUCCAUGCAUGAGUCGACUGCUAAGGAACAUAUAGAUCUGCACCAUAGUGAAGACGGCUUAGUCUAUUCAAAACACUAAUGUUGUGCCUUUCGAGGACCUCCCGAGACUCGAAUUCGAAUGCACUCUCCAAAGGUAUUAUGUUAGGGAAAAAACCUUAUUAAACCAAAUAUGUUACUGUUUAACCCAUACACGAAAAUUAGAUAUAUAAAUGUUGAACAAAUAGCAUAUAGUUAUAUCCAAUAUAUACGUACAUGAGAGGUAAAGAAGACAGCAAGACUGACAUGUGAAAUUCGGGAUACACUUUUGUUGUUUGGUGAUUUUGUUACGUAGUGUCAUUAAAGAAACGAUCAUGUGUGCGUGGACCAUCUUCUUCUUUUUACCGCUCAUUUCCCUUUUUACCAUAUCUACUACAAAAGAGUCCGAACUGACCAUUUAAUGAACGAGUACCAUUCAAUUCAUAAACUCCCCGUAUCAAUCUAACUGACACUGUAAAAGUUAUAAUGUUAAUAUAUAAAAAUAAUAUGGUUAUUUAGCAUGAAUAAUAACUUUUUAUAAUUGAGAGUAUGUCUAGCUAACAUUGGUGAUUGGUGCUUACAUAAAUCAUAUUUUUCAAACCACUUAACAAGAACUUUACAUAUUCAAUGAUAAACGAAUCACAUUUAUACAAUAUACCAUUCAAAAAUAAUAUUGUAAGAUGAUUUGAAAUUAAACGAUUGUAAUAUAUAAUGUGUUAAAAGUAAUGUAUUAUAGAUAUCUUGUAAUUAUUUAAAGGGUUUUGUGCAAAAAAAAAAACCACUAACUCAUACAUUUUUCCAAUUUACUAUCCAGCUCUAAUAAAUGCACAUUAAUCCUAUGAAUCUAAAAUAAUACGCAUUGUAACCCUUUUUGACCAUUUUUUGCUACCAUCAAUUUUGUAAAAUAUUGAUAUAUAAUAUGUUAAAUCAAAGCUCUCGCGACCAAGAGUUCAACUCUACCUUUAAAAAUUUUAAAAUGUAAUGUAUGUAACCGUAAAAACGCUUGUAAUAUGCAUAUGAAAUUUAUAUUACAUAUUAUGUUAAACUUCAUAAGAUUAAUCUGCAUUUGUUGGUAGUGCAUUUGUUAGAGGUGGAAGGUAAUGUUGCAAAAAUAGAUGAGUUAAAAGAUUUCUUUUUGCACAAAACCCUUUAUUUAAACUACUAACAAUAUAAUAUAUAAAUAAUUUAAAACAUAUAUCUCUAUAAUUCAUGAAGUAAUAAUGGUGUACCCUAUCCUUACCAACGAAUAAUAAAGAAAUGAUAUUAACUCUGAUUCAAAAGCUAUAUAUAAGAUAUUCUUUUUUUUUCCUCGGGAGGGAUACGAAUCCGGUAACAUGAAUCAGUGUCCAAUAAGAGCCAGUGGUCGUAAAUUCCAAAUGACAGAUGGAUGACUCAUUUUAAUUCGUAACUUUUGUCAGCUGCGAUAUAUGCUAAUGAAACCUGAGGUGCUAGAUUUUGAUUUUAAUGGCUUUAGAUUCUUACUCAACACUCAAUGGCCCACUCGUUAAUCUCUUACCUUCUAAAGUGAGUUAUGAUCCACUGCUUCUUUCUUCUUGUAGAUAGAUGGACCUGUUUUUUUUAGGUUGUGAUUUGUGGACAUUAAUCAACAACCCAUGUUUAUACGUGAUAAUGUCUGGAGCUAUAUGUAAAGGCGAUAUGGAGGACAACAUUCCUCUAUUCUAACUUUAAAAGCCAUGUAGUUAGGGCUGGACACCAAUAUUCUUUUUUUUUUUGCUAAAUUGUAAAUAUCAUUUUGAUGAAAAAUCAGGUUUUACAACAGUUGUAUAACCUAAAACAUUUGAACUCUUUGGCAAAAAAGAAUAAAAAAACGAAGAGCCAAUCGAGAGCUGCAUAGAACUCGGUAGUUUCAUAGCAGCCACAACGCUAUUAACUUGCGAAAAAGGAGUCUGUUUCUUCUUGAGGUGAUAACGUUUUUGAUUUUGCGGUUGAUGCACUUGAAUAUAGAAUGCGGAGAGAGGGAAGUAGCGUUGUGCAGGACAUUGUUAGGCUGCUUCAAGAUGUGGAAGACCUUAGACUGAACGACAAUAAUUUUAAGAACUGAUGAAGCCAAUAUUCAUCAUUUUCAAACAAAAAAUAUCUUUUGUUUGACACCAAUAUCCUUGACCAGCUUCAAACAAAGGAUAUACAUCAUUUUUAAGUCGGGUAAGGCAAAUGAGUAUAAGGAUUCUCAUUACACAUCUGGUUGCCAAAAACUUUUAGUCAAAUACUAGUUACAAUCUCAGUUUUUUACCCCAAACUUUUUGCCACUUAAAAAACUAGGGGUGGGCAUUCGGGUAAGCGGGUCGGGUUCGGGUUCGGGUAAAACCCGAUCAGGUAUAAAGAAGUUUAGGAUCUAAUAGGGUAAAUCUAAAAUAUCGGUUCGGUUUCGAUUCGGGUCCAACCGGGUUCGGAUAUAGAUUUGUGGCCUUUUUUUAUCCAGAUUUUUCGGGUAAAAUUUUGGAUUUCGGAUAAAAUUUAGAUUUUUGAAUAAAAUAUUUGGGUAUUUUCGGGUUCGAGUUUGUUUUUUCGGGUAGAGAAAUUUAGGAUCCAGUAAAGUACAUCUUCGGAUUUGGAUUAAGUUUCAGCUCUAAUUUUUCGAGUUAGUUUCGGUUCGGAUAAUCGGUUCUGGUUUUUUGGCCCGGCUCUAUAGAAAACCAUCAAUAAAUAUUUUAAUCCUAUUUCUGCCUCAUUACUCGAGAAAAUAUUCGACCCGUUUUAUUACUUGAUAAAUUUACAACUAUAUAUUUAUGUAAUCUAUUUCAUAUUAGUAAAAUAUAUUAAAUUUGUUAUUAAAACCAAAUAUCUUUUGAGAUUAGGGCAAUCAAAAGUUAAGGUCAAGCAAAUGUCUCCUUUCUAAAUGUUUUUGUGGGUAACGGUAAAGGACAAAUAUACAGCCCAUGCCCAGACCUACAAGUAGCGACUCCAUUACUACACAGUAAGAUUUUUAUUAAUAAAAAUGUGCAUGGUUUCAUUUAAAAGUCAUUGCUAACACUUCACUUUACAGUAAUAUUCAAUUUCAUACCUUUAAACGUUAAUCAGAAUCGCCAAUUGGAAGCCAGUCACUGGAAUCACCUUCCGAAUCCUUGCUAUGUCCAACUUGGCUCUUGCUGAGCUGAACCCAGCUUGACCCGCUUGCGUUUGAUGCUGGUCUUUUCAGUGUACUCCUGUUGGGACUUGGCUUCUCCGAGAGAUCAUCGACAUCUAAAUCACUAAAGGAGAUUACCUCUUCAUCUCUGAAACUCCUCCGUUGUUCUUCAGAUGACUCAUCACUUAUCUCCCUUUGCUCAAUUUUUAGAGUCUCUAUCUUGUCAAUGACUCCCUCAACGGUUUCUGUUUCCCUACUGCUACCUUCUUCAGGAGUUUCGUGACCAGUAGUGCUCUUGCUUGACCCUGUCUCUUUCUUUUGCAGCUUUAGUAAAAGUUGAUCCCUUGUUUCAAAUACCUGUGCCGCACAAUAUAGUUAUUAAAGUUUCAGAAAUAGGUACAAUAGUAACUUGGGAAAAAAUGCAGAGCAUAAAAGAUAUAAAACAAUCCAAUUUUAAAAGCAUCAGGCAAAAAUACAUUUUUUCCUGAGGCUAUACUUGUUCUUAUUGCAAUCGGUUGAAGGGGUCAUUAUAGCAUAAACGUUUACGAUUUUAAUAAUAUUGGAUCAAUACUGACAUUUCAGAAGAAUGUAUUUCCAGUAUACAGUCUUACCUUGCAUGUUGCUAAGAGUUCAAAAUCAUGCCCAUUCAGUCUCGGCAUCAGCAAAAUAAAAUAAAUCAGCCAGAAGUGUUCAUCAUCCAUGUAACUACUAACUUGAUUCUUCACAGCUACAAGGCCAGGAACCAAAUCUUCAAUGGCUGAUGCAUGUGCCCUUUGAGCCUCAGACAGUUCAAAUUCUGCAAUGUGGACAUGAAAAGUUGGAGAAAAACUUCAGCAUAAUUCAGUAGGUAAAAUUGAUGUAAACCACCAAUGCUUUUUAUCAGGAAGUGUUUCGACAACAUUUUCAAGCAAACCAAGCCUAUAUACAAAAGGUUGUACAGGAUGACGAUAUGCUUCGCAAUAAAAUAAAUAAAAAGAUUUAAGUGGCAUAUGGAUUGAACUAUAUAUAUAUAUAUAUAUAUAUAUAUAUAUCCCAAGAAGAGACUGCAGACCCCGUCAAGUUUAUUCGUAAUUCCUGGAGAUCUAUCUAAAGAACAGGGACUUCAAAAAAAAAAAUUAACUGCAGAAACAAUCAAUCUUGUCCAAACAGGUCUAGAAUAAAACACAUCAAGAGUUAAAGACUGAAGCAUAAUCAUCUUUGGCGACUGAAAACAAGUCAACUAUAUUUCCAAGAACAAUCAUGUUUAUUCCUGCAUGGCUGCAAGUUCGUCGACAAUAUCUUCAAGGUAUGAAAAAUGUGAUCUACAGAGAGUAAUGGGACCCCGAGAUCCUAAAGACCUGAGCUUGAAGAAAUAUAUCCCAAGAGGAGAUGGCAGGACCGGUCUAACCUAAUCUAAAAUACUAGGAAAUCUCUCUAAAGAACACCAGAGGCUACAAGCAAUCAACUGUACAAACAAAAAAAAUAUUUUCCUAAUAAAUCACAGUAAGAAAAUCAUAACUAAACAUAGAUAGUUAGAAACCACCAAUGCGGUGCUUCGACUAUACUUUCAAACUAACAAAGCCUAUAUACUGGGAACAAAAAUAUGCUUGAAGAAAUAUGUCCAAAUAAGCUUAAUCUGUAACCCUAGUGAUCCCACUAGAAAGCCAAUCAACUGUAGAAGCAAUCAAUCUUUUCCAAAUAAAACCUAUUUUAGUAACAAUUAUGUUUGCCUACUGGGAAAAAAAAAAGUCAAUGCAGAGCUUAAGACUAUUGAGAAUCAAGCUUUAUGAUUCCUCUAUUGACUAUACAGGAGCAUUACCAGUAUCGAGUGACAAUGGAAAAUCUGUCCAACAACCAGGUUUCGUCGAGAUUUUAACAGCGAAAUCGACUACUUCUUCAGAGAUUCCAGGAACUUGAUCGUUCAACGGAGAUCUUCUACUACUUUCUCUAUCUCUUAGAUUACUAGGAAAUUGGAGUAAAUUAGAUGCGAAAUUGGAGAAAUUUCCACGAAUCUCGGCUAGAUCGUUGCGGAUCCCGAGAAGACCUAGCUGAGUUGGUGAAUUAUCAGAGGAGAGUCGGCGUUCGUUUACAGGUGGAGAAGGAGGCGGUGCCAGGAAAGCUGCGACGCCACGGAGUAAGGAAGAUAAAUCUUCUUUGACACCGCCAUGAGUUGUGGAAGGAUCGGGAUCGGGAUCGUGAUCGUCAUCGCCGCGAGAUUUGAAGAGCCAAGACAUGGUUUUUGAGUGAGAGAGGUUGGAUUUGGGGUUUUCAGUUUUUUUUGCACGGGGUUACGAAUAGCAAGAGAGAAGAAACGGUACGUUUUAAUACCUUUCCAAAACGCACCGUUUGUUGUUUGUUCGUUUUGAUACCUUCCCAAACGUGAAAUAAACGAACAAUAAUUAUACAAAAUAAACGGAAACAAAACCUACUUUUUAAAACGGGAAAAUAUCGUUUUAUACGUGAUGUUUUUAAGAAUGGUCAUUUUAUAUGUAAACUUUUAGAUCGAUCAAAUAAAAUAUGAUAAAAAUGUUGAUCCGCUAUUUAAACAAAACAUAAAGUUUGCCUGGCCAAAAUUUCCGAAAUGUUAACUUGUAUUAACGGAUCUGAUAACCCUCGUUAGCAGACGUUAGUCGUCUUCCGUUAAUACCAAACGAUUUUUUGUGAUGAGUACAAACCUUAAAAUUCCCAAAUCGAUUUUUCAUUCCCUAAUUCUUCAUAAUCCCCAAAAUUUGAACUAUUCUCGAUAUAUUUUUUUUGAGCUCAAAAUCUCCAUUUUGUGUAGAUAUGAGUUUAAAAAAUUUGAGUGUUCAAGAAGGAGGAAGUGGGAACCUUGGGUUUCCUUCAAAGUGUCAUUGGGGGAGAGAUUUCAUCAUCUAUAUAUCAAGCUCGACGAAGAACCCAAGAAGAUCCUUCUUCUGUUGUCCAACAUAUCAAGAUGUAAGUAGAUUUGAAUUUGUUUUUUUUGGUGUUUGAUCGGUAAAAAGUUGUCGUUGUAAAUGCAGGACCAUUUGUUUAAGUGAGUCGAAGAUUGUGUGUAUGAAGAGGUUGUAGAUGCAAUACUGAUAAUCUCUAUGAUUGAUAGCUAGAUAAACAAUGUCAAAUUUCAGGUUGUAGUCGAGAUUGCAGAAUUAAAGGUUUUGAUCCAAGAAUUGAAGGAAGAUGAAAUGUGGAGCAAAAUGGAAUUGAAGAUAUGGAAAUCGAUGACCAAAUUGUGCUUGGUGUGCCUUUGUAUAACAGUCAUUGCAAUUAUGAUCAUAAUGUUCUAUAAGACCAAAAACCAUAAGCUUGUUCUUGGUUACUAGUGUUUUGUGUUUGUAAUAAAAUGUUUUUAUGGUACUGAAAUGUUUGUUUGGCAAUGAUAAUCAGUCCUAGUGUUUUGUCUUAGUGUUGUGAUUGUAAUGAAAUGCUACUAGAUGCUUGUUUAACAAUGAGAAUCACCAAAAUGAAACUCAUUCAUACAUUAUAAAACUUGUGUCACAAAGACAAGUCGAAACCACAAAAUGAAAUCGAUACUAAGCUUAUGUCAUAAAGACAAAUCCAUUAUGUCAACCACCAAAAAUAAACUUAUGAGAAAGCUUAAGUUCAAACAACAACAAAAAGAAACUUGUGACUAAUCUUGUCUUGAACACUCAAACCAUGAUGCAAAUCCACCAAGUCCUUGUGGUUGAGCAUGUGGCUCAGUUUGUGCUUGUGCUUGUGGUUCUGUUUGGGAUUGUACUUGUGAUGCUCCACCUGUCUCCCUUGGUCUUUCUGAUGUUCCGCCUGUUGCCCUUGGUCCUUGUGAUCGAAUAUGAGAUUGUGAUCCUUGAUGAGGUUGUGAUCCGUGUAUUUGCUCUUGCGAUUCGAGCACUUGAGAUCGUGAUCCUUAAUGAGAUUGUGAACUUUGAUGAGGUUGUGAUCUUAGCACUUGUGAUUCCUCCUAAGUUAAAUAUGACAGUCUGAACAGUUGCAUGAUUAAGUGAGUUGUAAAACAUAUAAAAAAAAACAAGAAUACAAACCUGAUUUAUUCGUGGAUGACCUCUUGGUCUCUUUGGUGGAAUCAGAAUAGUGGCAUUUUUGCAGCUUUGCUUGUUUGCCCUUGUUGAAGGCAGUUAGAGCAUGUCAUGAUUCUCUUUUGCAGUGGCAUCUUGUUCUUAUUUGAAGAAGAAGAAGUCUCAUUUCUUCCUUUUCUCCUAACAUAAUUACUCGGUCUUCCAACAUUUCCUUUUGUCCAUGGUGGUGGCAAAACAGGGAGCCUAUUGGUUUUAGGCCACAAUGGCAUACCUUGGACAAGGCUAAUACCAUCUUUAUAAGUUUUUCGCCAGAUUACCUUUGUGUAAAACUUGCUCACAUAGUCUGCAACUGUUUCUCUUCUUCCUAUUAUCACAGGUGUCGCAUAAAUACAUGGGAUCCCCACCAUCUACCACUUCCUGCGACCACAAGUUCUCUUCUCCGUAUCAACAUAGUAGCUAACACCAUUCACAUCAAUUUGAUACAAAUUGUUUCUGGACAUAUAUCUCUCGCAAUUUCUAACCCCAACUAUCAUUUUCUCAAUCUCAAGAUGGGCUCUCUUUGUGAACCUUGUCUUCAAUUUGUCAGCAAUGAUAUACGUCUUCGUAGUUAUGACCAUGCAUUACCUCUGGAUGUACUCUAGCUAAUCCAACAAAGGCUUUCUCCUAGCCUGUUUAAUAGUCUUAUUAAAAGACUCACACUGAUUAUUGAGGCUGUCAUUGCAACGUGUCCAAUUCUAAAGAAGGCUCUCGACCAUGUCAUUGGACUAGUAAGUUGCGAGUGGCAUGCGCAUGAGGAUUGUAUCUCUUUAGCUCUUCCAUAUUAUUCAUGAACACUUCUUCAGUGUAGCUUCAAAUUGUUUUUCAAAGAGACAUUGUAGUUCUAUCUCAUGGUUGUCUCUCUUCCAAUUGUCCAUUAUAUGCCUUGAAUAUUGUCGAUGCUCAACUUCUGGAAGUAUGGUAUUGAUAGCUUUGACUAGACCCUGUAAAAUAACACAAAAACAUAAGCGUAAACCCUUCAUAAAAGACAUUAAACUGAAGCAAAAGAUGAUAAAAUUAACUGAUUAUUUAUCUGAAAUGAUAACUAGAUGUUGCAUUUCACAGUCCCAAACUAGUAGAGAGCUGUCUCAAAAACCAGUCCCAAUUAUCAUUGUUUUCUAUCUCAACAACUGCCCAAGCUAUAGGAACAAUCCUCUUAUCUCCAUCUCUUCCAACUACAGCUAAAAGGUGACCUUUUACAUCCCAUUUUAGAAAACCCAUCUAUUCCUAUCACAGGUCUACAAGUUCGCUUCCAAGAAUCCUUUUGAGAUUUAAAGCAGAUAUAGCACCAGAGAAAAGAAUCCUUUUGUGAUAUAAAGCAGCUAUAGCAUCAGAGAAACCUUUGCUUGCUUCCAAUAAAAAGCCCUACUGUUGUCUCUAUCUCAAACUCUGUCUCUGGGUUCUACUUUAAAACCUCCGCUUGAUAAUCUCAUAUUCUUGAAAAGUGAUCAUUAUGAGUAGCAUGUCAUGCUUUCAACACUUUGGUCUUGGCCUUUGCACAUUGGUCUGGAGUCACAUCCAAAUUGAAUUCUCUCUGAAUCUCAACAACCAUCUCGUUCUUUGAAAUAUUUGGAUUCACUCUCAGCCUUUCAUCAAACAAAAGUGCAAUGGAAGACCGCUUCAACAUCUUUGAAUAUCCUGACCUAACACAAGUAUGCAUAUAAAAUCUUACUUGCAUCUUAUGUUUUGUCUUCUCAUACGAACAAUAUACUUUCCAACCACAUUUAACACCAUCAACACCAAUUUAUGACCACUUCGCAGCAACAACCAUAGAUUCAGACCCAUAAAGAGAAAUGGUAUACCAUGUCUUUAAAGAGUACAUCAAAAGAACACGCUUGAAGUCGUGUUUAUAUCCUCUUCACCGCGUAAACCACCAUUAUAAUCGUUAUCUCCACCACCAACCACAUCAUCAACGACAUUGCAGUCUUCAUCACCAUACACGGCGCAGUCUUCUUCAUUUUUCAGGGUCAGGCUCAAAUGUAGGUUCUUCAUCCUCCUCUUUUUAAUGUCUGACUCUUCUUCGUUUUUGUUUUCAAAGCCGCUUUGAAACUCGAGCUUUAACUACGAUAGAAGACUCUACUACGCCUACAGCCGGCAGAGCUAGAACUCCGUUAUCAAACUCUAAAACUGCUUCCGCUGGUGGAGCUCGAACAACAUCUUUGGUGUCAUCUUCGCCUCGUGGUGGAGCUUCAUCAUUGUCUAAUUUGCCUUCCAUUGAUACAAUCUAGGACUCCAAGGAUACAAAUUCAAGAUGAAAUCAAAUCAAAAUCGCGAUUUCGCCAAAGUAAGAAUUAGGGAUUUGGUUUUUGGAAAUUAGGGAUUUUGAAAUCAAAAUGGGAAUUUCUGUUUCAGUUUAUGAAACGACAUUGUUUUAGGCAUUAACAGAAAAAAUUAACGUCUGCUUACAGGGGUUAUCGGAUCUGUUAAUGCAAGUUAACGUCUCGGGGAUUUUGGUCAGGUCAACUUUAUGUUUUGUGUUAAAUGGCGGGUCAACGUCUUUAUCAUGUUUUAUUUGGCCGACCUAAAAGUUCACGUAUAAAAUGGCCACUUUUGAAAGUUCACGUAUAAAACGACAUUUUUCCCUUUUCAAAAACCUAAUUUAUUUCGCAUAAUUAUUGUUCGUUUUGAAAAGUAGGUUUUGAUUUAAUAUUAAAUUUAUUCGGGGAAAAAGAAUUAUACAUUUACAAGUAGGAAAAAUGGGUAAAAAAAACCUCACCUUUCCCAAAUACAUUUAAAAAAACCUCAACUUUUUGUAGGUUUUUAAACCCUCACCUUUUCAAAAAUGGUAAAAUAACAAUUAGCAUUAUUAAACCAAAUAAAUACAAAUUAAAUACUAAAUAAACUAUUAUAUUAAGACAUAAAAAACAACAUAAUUUAUAAUCUAUCUUUUCCAAAUUUGAGUUUAGGAUUUUUUUUCUUCUAGAAUUUAGUUGUUUUUUGUGAUAUAAAAAAUAAGUUUCAUUGCCAUUAGAAAUUGGUAUGUAAACUAAAACAAUUUAUAACAUAGCACAUUUUAUUUUAUUUGUGUUCAACUAUGUUCUAACCUUUGAAGUUUUGGAUUUAAAAUGGAUAAAAUUUAUUAACACAAAUUUGAUCUAAACUUGAGUGACCUAAUAUUUGUUCUAAACUUGUGUGAUCAAAACUUUAUUCUAAACUUAAGUGUCCAAACCAAAUAAAAUUUUAUUAAAUAUAUUUUAUAUUUAGUUAUUACAAAAUUAGUUUAGUUUUACGUUGAUGAAUUUCUUGAACUCAACCAAAUUAAUCUUGUUUCAGUUCACUGCAUAUGUAGAAGAAUAUAUAUCUAUAUAUAUAUACAUAUAUCAUACCUAAAAUAAAAUAAUUAUUUUUAUCCAAAAUUUAAUUAAACUUACACUCGAAACAAAAUAAAUAAACUUUGAAUAGACUUUGGAUAUGUUAUCUUCAGUAUGAAACCAAUUGUCUGAACCAAAUUUAAAUUGUUUUCACAUAAAACAUUUUACUAGAAGAAAAUAUUUAAGAGCUAUGUCUUUGGUUAGAUUAGAAUCGACAUAUUUCGUUUUCAAGAUUGUUUAGUGGUAGUUUGUUGUUUUGCGUCAAGUUUUUUUUAAUGUUUUCUUUUCCUAUUUUUGUCGGGUUCAUCUCUUGCUUUUGGACCGGUCAAUCUAUAACUUUUCACCUUUAUAAUAAUAGGUAAAGCGGUUGUGUGACUCUUUCAUUUUCCUCUACUCAAGUUUAAGACUAAAUCUGGUCAAAUUUUUAUUAGACUAGUUAUGAUGGU
rnacentral:lncRNA from 1 species